AGCAGUGAGAUGGAAUGAUCCACUUGAGCGUCUCCUGUCAAUGAGGGAAGUUGCAGCAAUCUGAGAAAAGCAAUUUCAGCCUUCCAAACCGCAACUCGCUUACAUAAUAACCUCUUUGCAGAAGCGGCACCCAUUACCCGCAGCGGGCGGUACGGCUUGAUUAGCCGGGCAGGAUCCCCCCGUGCUGAGCUGCCUUGGAGAGCAACAAAUUACCUGUUCUCUGAAUCGUCAUUAUCCUUUCCUUGAGAAACCCACUUCUACCUCCCUCAUCUCCGCAUACACAGGAAGCACCUGUCAAGUUCAUAUUUCUUAAUUUGGGUCAUGAAUUUUUAUUUCCUCAGGUUUGCAGAGACUCCCAUUUUUACUGUUAGCAGGAUGUCCAUCAACACUGUGCACAUUUCCAGACAAUUCUCCUUUCAGCUUCCUGUAAAGCUAUAUGAACAAUUAUCAGAAGCCCCUAAGAAAUUGCUCCAACACUGGCCCCAUUGUUUGCUACUUCAGUGGAAAAGUAUGGACUUCAAGAGCAAGCUGACCCAGAUGCCAGGUGAACAGUGGACUCCUGAUGUCGGGCUGAUCCCUGUGCUUGCAGCGCUCUAUCUUGGGUGACAAAGCUGGGUGUUAGCAGUGUCUGAGUUGGAUGGGAAGCAGAU
rnacentral:lncRNA from 1 species